CUUGAUGCCUCGUUCCAGCACUCCCGUUUGCCUGACUUCUGCUCUCUGUGUACCGACCCACACCUGUCCACUGACCACCCUUGGUUAUGGGAGAGCCAGAGCCUCGCCCAGCAAGCUUCGGACGAAAGGUAGACUACACUCCGAGCUGGUCGCCAGUCAGUCGCAGGGCAGAUAUCGACAACAUCACUGAGCGGGAAUCGAUACCACGCUGCCCGCACCAAAGUCAGGUGUGUGUACUACUACAGCAUCAUUGACUAUACUGUAAAUCAUACCAGUGAAUCUAUUUUUGUUUCUCUAAGAUGUGUAUUUCUGGAAAAAAAGUUGUAAUUCCACCUUAAACUGUCAAAUGUUUUUAAAAGAAAUUUAAAAUCAAAGUGAGAAUGCUCUUUAACUUUUCAUGUUUAAUGGCCACGGUUUUUUUAAAAUCGAUUUUUAUGGUCUUUAUUUCGUCUUGGUCUUGUUGAUCUUAUUUUGGUCUUGGUGAGUUCUGGUCUUGGCCAAGUCUUAGUCUCUUCGAGUGUGGUCUUGAACACAACACUAAUAUGAUGUUUGAAAUGACUAUCGGCAUGGAAGGAAGAAGACAAGACUUGUUACUGGACAAUGAAAACUCACAGAAGGCAGACGAGGGAUAUGAUAUUUUUCACCUCAGUGUUGAAACCCUGCAUAUUUAUGGUUUGGCAUUUGUUAAUUUACACAACUGCGGAUUACAUUUUGGAAACCUAUUUGCUCCUUAUACUUUUAUUACUUGUUUUUUUUUUCGUGUCUCAAGCGAAAGCAACACCUAUUACUAUAUGAUAAUAUAUGUAAUGUUGUUGGCCUAAGACCACGAUUGCAUCAUUUUCAUUCAUUUUCUUUUUCAUUUGUGUCAAGUCAUUUUCAAAUGUUUUCUGGAAAAUAAAUGCAACAAAUCGCCUCAAUUUAAUUUUUGAGGAACAUGACCGGCCAGUCACCGUGGAAAUAAGUUAAGUUUUUUUAUGACCUUGGCAGUAAAUUAAAAGUGACUAGAAGGCUAACUACGUCUGUAUAACAAUUGGGUCUUAUCUUUUUUUCAACAAAUGUUUUUCCAAGUGUUUUAUAUUUCUAUUUUUGCAGAUUUUUUUGAAAAUAUUUGUUUUUUCUAUUUAUUAAAAGCUGUACAAUACGUG